CAGCCGCCGCGGGAAUACGAAGGGUGCAAGCGUUAAUCGGAAUUACUGGGCGUAAAGCGUGCGUAGGCGGUUUGUUAAGUCUGUUGUGAAAUCCCCGGGCUCAACCUGGGAAUGGCAAUGGAUACUGGCAAGCUAGAGUGUGUCAGAGGAUGGUGGAAUUCCCGGUGUAGCGGUGAAAUGCGUAGAGAUCGGGAGGAACAUCAGUGGCGAAGGCGGCCAUCUGGGGCAACACUGACGCUGAGGCACGAAAGCGUGGGGAGCAAACAGGAUUAGAUACCCCAGUAGUCCCUGUCUCUUAUAC
rnacentral:rRNA from 1 species